GGGCAGGUUCCCGAGCGGUCAAAGGGGGCAGACUGUAAAUCUGUUGGUUAAUCCUUCGGAGGUUCGAAUCCUCCCCUGCCCA
rnacentral:tRNA from 1 species